rnacentral:tRNA from 1 species
GGGGGUGUAGCUCAGUAUUAGAGCGCUCGCUUCGCAUGUGAGAGGUCCCGGGUUCGAACCCCGGCACCUCCA